rnacentral:pre_miRNA from 1 species
CUGGGCCUCUGUGGGCAUCUUACCGGACAGUGCUGGAUUUCCCGGCUAGACUCUAACACUGUCUGGUAACGAUGUUCAAAGGUGACCCCC